UGUCGAAAUGAUAAUGAGCUAUAUGAAGAGUUAAUCUUCUUUUGUUCUUUUAAUAACUUCUCUCUUUUGAUUGAGUUCCGAUCUUUCAGCUUCAAGCAAAUCAUGUGUUGGAUAGCUACGUGCGUGAUUUUCGCAGCAAUUUCUGAUUGGAUCAAGUCGCAUAACAUUGUUUAGUUGCUGUUAUUAAUCUUGUUUUGUCGCAUAUCUAACUUAGUUUAGUUACUGUUAUUAAUCUUGUUUUCUUGAGUCAUUCUAUGAAAGGAACAGAAGAAUCCACAAAGCACAAGCGUUGCACC
rnacentral:lncRNA from 1 species